CGAGUUUGAUCAUGGCUCAGGAUGAACGCUAGCGGCAGGCUUAACACAUGACAAGUCGAACGGUAACAGAAAUUAGCUUGCUAAUUUGCUGACGAGUGGCGCACGGGUGCGUAACGCGUAUGCAACUUACCCUUAACUGGAGAAUAGCCUUUCGAAAGGAAGAAUAAUACUCCAUAAUAUUUCGCUGUGGCAUCACAGCGUUCUUAAAGCUUCGGCGGUUAGGGAUGGGCAUGCGUCCUAUUAGUUUGUUGGUGAGGUAACGGCUCACCAAGACUACGAUAGGUAGGGGGCCUGAGAGGGUUAUCCCCCACACUGGUACUGAGACACGGACCAGACUCCUACGGGAGGCAGCAGUGAGGAAUAUUGGUCAAUGGACGAAAGUCUGAACCAGCCAUGCCGCGUGCAGGAUGACGGCCCUAUGGGUUGUAAACUGCUUUUAUAUAGGAAGAAACCUCCCGACGUGUCGGGAGCUGACGGUACUAUACGAAUAAGGACCGGCUAACUCCGUG
rnacentral:rRNA from 1 species